rnacentral:rRNA from 1 species
AUAACGAUACAUGACUCUUUUGAGGCCCUGUAAUUGGAAUGAGUACACUUUAAAUCCUUUAACGAGGUUCUAUUGGAGGGCAAGUCUGGUGCAGAGCGACUGACCCAUGCGUGCUGCAGCUGAAA